GUUUUAAUAAUUUAAUAGAAAAUAUUGGUCUUGUAAACCAAAAAUAAGAAUAUAACCUUUUAAAACU
rnacentral:tRNA from 1 species